GAUGAACGCUAGCGGCAGGCCUAACACAUGCAAGUCGAGGGGUAACUAGAGUGAUAGCAAUAUUACUUUGGCUAGACCGGCGCACGGGUGCGUAACACGUAUGCAACCUACCUUAUACUGGGGAAUAACUUCGAGAAAUCGGCGCUAAUACCCCAUAACACUGCGGAGAGGCAUCUCUUUGCAGUUAAAGCUCCGGCGGUAUAAGAUGGGCAUGCGUCCAAUUAGCUAGUUGGGGAGGUAACGGCUCACCCAGGCUACGAUUGGUAGGGGUUCUGAGAGGAUGAUCCCACAACCGGGUACUGAGACACGGACCAGACUCCUACGGGAGGCAGCAGUGAGGAAUAUUGCGCAAUGGAAGAAAGUCUGACGCAGCCAUGCCGCGUGCAGGAUGACGGCCCUAUGGGUUAUAAACUGCUUUUGUACGGGAAUAAACCCUUCUACGUGUAGGAGGCUGAAGGUACCGUAAGAAUAAGCACCGGCUAACUCCGUGCCAGCCGCCGCAGUAA
rnacentral:rRNA from 1 species